rnacentral:rRNA from 1 species
AACGAACGCUGGCGGCAUGCCUAACACAUGCAAGUCGAACGAGACCUUCGGGUCUAUUGGCGCACGGGUGCGUAACGCGUGGGAACCUGCCCUUAGGUUCGGAAUAACUCCCCGAAAGGGGUGCUAAUACCGGAUAAUGUCUUCGGACCAACGAUUUAUCGCCUUUGGAUGGGCCCGCGUUGGAUUAGCUAGUUGGUAGGGUAAAAGCCUACCAAGGCGACGAUCCAUAGCUGGUCUGAGAGGAUGAUCAGCCACACUGGGACUGAGACACGGCCCAGACUCCUACGGGAGGCAGCAGUGGGGAAUAUUGGACAAUGGGCGAAGGCCUGAUCCAGCAAUGCCGCGUGAGUGAUGAAGGCCUUAGGGUUGUAAAGCUCUUUUACCCGGGCUGAUAAUGACAGUACCGGGAGAAUAAGCUCCGGCUAACUCCGUG